AUGAUCAUACUUUAUAGGAUCACUUCUAUAGUGCGAUUCCCGGGGUUUCUCGCCGAGAUUCUCGGAAUAUGUUCAACCACGUUUGAGACUGUUAGUGUAACCCUUUCUGAGCGGAAGCGGCUCUAAAGUGUUUGUCUUGAGAGAUUUGAUGACCGUUCUGACUGGGUUUUACCGAUGUUGAGAGGAGGAUCACACAAGCUGAGGGGU